CUCGUCGUCGUGGGGAUCAUAGUGGUGUAUCUCACAAGCUGAGUACUAAAAAAGUCACUCUGCCGGAAAAUAUUCAGAAUCUGUAGGCCCGAACCCUUCAAUUGAAGCAGAAAAUCUGGUUCUCGAAUGCAUGUAAGACUUGCAGACUGUGCAACGCUUCAGACGGCAAGGGAAACUGCUGUUCAUGAUUAAGUGAUGAGACGGGAUAAAUUAUCUAGUUGCUAAAGCUCAAUGAGAAUGAUUCCAAUUGGAAUCAUCCCAAGGACGUAGUUAUCAAGACUCGGGGCAAAAGAGAUUCAGAAAGUCCACUAGCAGACGCUUCCAGCUUUGACAUGUAGGUGGUAUGCCUGUAUGAUUUCCAGGAAUGGGUCAUGCGAAACUUGUGUGCACCUUAGCACCGUCCUAGUCCAUGGCAAGCUGUGGAAAAGGCUAGCUUGAAGCAAUAUCCUACGCACAACUUCACAAGCCGCAACUGUACCUACUAGCCACAGUUCUUUUGAGGAACUGGUUCGAAGAGUGACCUUCAGCUUUUCCGUGUUUGUGCUAGACCAUUGGAACUAUUUCUCAGCCAGAAACUCACGUUUACUCCACCUCUUCUCCUUAGCGUAGUUCUGAGCAAUCUCUCAGUUACAAUGGUAGAUCACUUAUGCAAUGUUAUAUCCCUUUGUUGCUGAAACGGGAUUGUUGUGUCUCAGUGAAGAGACAGUCUGAAGUUGGCUAUCAUUUCAGGAAAACGACGAGAGACGUCUACCACCUCGCCGCGGAGGGACUAAUCUGGAGGAAGAAGCUGUAUCCAGCUAAACAAAUUCGAGAAAUCCCACCUUGAUCUACAAAAGACCUCUCACUGGAAGGGCCAGUGGAAAGGUUAUUCUGAUCAGUGUGAAAAUACGCAACUGUGUCUUUUCACUCACUCCUUGAAAUCUUGGAGAAUAUUGCGAACAUGCAAACGUGAAAGUGAGGAUGUUCCUUCUAUGAAAUCGAGACCAACUCUUCAGUUUUUGCAUUUCUCUUCCAUUGAAAUUGUGACUUUCACACAGUUUCUAACCGAUUCUGCCUGGAGGGUUUUUUUUGUCUGCGUAGGCCCAUGCAUCGUGUCAAUCUGCAAAUUCAACUGUGCAUUAUGUUUUCGCGCUUGCGUCAAGUACUUGGAUGAAUUCGAGUUGCAUUGUGGAAUUUUUAUUCAUGAGAAGAAGAUGAGAAAUUAAUCGUUUUAGAAAGACAACUGGCUUAGACAGAUUCUGAAUUUUGAAAUCCUUGCUUGUGAAGUGAGAGUGAUUUCUCUGCAAACGGUUGCGCUGUUCAAACAGUGGUGAACGGGUGCGUAGCGUUUCUGUUUGUUAGUGUUUGGUGCGAAACUGUGAGGAGGGAGGAGUUUGUGGGGUGUGAAAAAUGGGGAGUUCAAAAUUUUAAGGCUCGUGGUUGAGAUAUGCGACAAUAUUCAGAGUUGAAUUCUUUGGGUUUGGUUUGGGGAUGUACUUGACUUUUAGUUUCUAAAUUGGGUUGCAUAGCUAAAUCAUUGCCAAUUAUUGCAAAGAAACGGUAUUGUUGAUGGUGCCAUUCAUGUGAGUUAUUAUCUGCCUAAUCGUGACCUUGGUCGUCCUGAUCUUGGUGGUUAUAAUUCGUACACUAAACAUCUCACAGGCCACGGAGAGGCAGCAGUUGCAAACCAAAUCGACCUCUGAAGAAGUCCCUCUAUUUUAUGAUUGUGGAGGUUUAGUGAUCCUAGAGAGAGAUUAUAAUGUUCUUCCACGAUACCUCUGUUGAUAGCCAUCGGAAUUGUUUCGUUUCUAGUGGUUCUGUUUCUGUUGCUUCUAUCAUCAGUACACGCAAAUUAGAUGUUCCUCUGCCUUUGGUUUUCUGUGUAGAUCACAAUUUAGCCUUACUAGGGUAAUGUGGAAGCAAAAAUGAAAUUACAAAUUAAUUAUCCGCCAGCCGCAGCAAGAAAAGCAUAAUUGCGCAAGAGGUGAAGUUGCAGUCAUAUCAAAAAAAUUGGCUCGUUCGACAGCCCUAAUCAAUGUACACGGAAAUCUUGCUGCAGUGAGUGUUAUUGUAACUGGCACCUAAGUCCUCAAGACAAUUUUACGACUUCAAACAAUUCUGUGAACAAUUACCUACUUUCCGAUAAGGUUGUUGUGGAGAUUACCUCGGUGCCCAACCAACAACACCACGACCUCAUAGAAGCUUUACACAUCUCUUCAGUCAAGUCUUUGGACGCGAGUGGGAACCAUUUGCCUGGUGGAUUCCAAGUUAACAUCACCCGUUUGACUUCCAUGAGUGAGCUGGAGUUGAGCAACCUAAUCCGGGCGAAGAUAUUUUCAGCCGUUGGAAAUUACAAGACAGUGGAGAUGUUGUGGCUCUCGUGCAUGAGACUUGAGGGCACCAUCCCUUCCGAUCUGUGCAACCACACGAAACUUGUAGAAAUUGUAAGCUUUUUUUUUACACCCCAUCGCGUUGCCCCUCCGUUCCACCGUCAUGAAUCAACAUUCUGAGUAGUCGGCAAGCAUGAUCUUUUAAGCGGAAGGAGAUUUGUAAUACAAAACAUCUCAGAUCUCAUUAGGCUGGCCUCUGAAUCCUCUCAGAUCUGGGGUAAAUCCAUCUGGAAUAUAGCACCUCACAGCAUCGACGACGCCUCAACAUUAAGAAGGAUUGAUUUUCCAAGUCGAGAUUUGCUUAUCAGUGGCCAUACUUUUCCUCAGCUACCACCCACUUUACUUAAGUUCAGUUUUCAUUAAAAUUCAAAAUUAGGAAAAAGAGGAUGCCGAACAUAUUCACAGAAAUUUUCGCUCGUGAUGGCUACUGUACAAAUUGCUAAUUUUGGCAAGGAAAUACCUUGAUGUAGAGUUGUUGUAUUUUACUCCCGAUUAGAAUCAGGAUGCAAAUAUUACAUGUGGAACCCUGUCGCUUCCUGGAAGUUUAUUGCAGAAACAUCGAAUAUGAUCACAUCAA